rnacentral:rRNA from 1 species
GAUGAACGCUGGCGGCGUGCCUAAUACAUGCAAGUCGAGCGAACAGACGAGGAGCUUGCUCCUCUGACGUUAGCGGCGGACGGGUGAGUAACACGUGGAUAACCUACCUAUAAGACUGGGAUAACUUCGGGAAACCGGAGCUAAUACCGGAUAAUAUAUUGAACCGCAUGGUUCAAUAGUGAAAGACGGUUUUGCUGUCACUUAUAGAUGGAUCCGCGCCGCAUUAGCUAGUUGGUAAGGUAACGGCUUACCAAGGCGACGAUGCGUAGCCGACCUGAGAGGGGGAUCGGCCACACUGGAACUGAGACGCGGUCCAGACACCGACGGGAGGCAGCAGUAGGGAAUCUUCCGCAAUGGGCGAAAGCCUGACGGAGCAACGCCGCGUGAGUGAUGAAGGUCUGCGGAUCGUAAAACUCUGUUAUUAGGGAAGAACAAAUGUGUAAGUAACGAUGCACGUCUGGACGGUACCGAAACAGAAAGCCACGGCUAACUACGG